rnacentral:lncRNA from 1 species
AUGCUCUUCCUUACUUUCAGAGCCUGGCCUGCGGAGUCCGAGGGCUGGUUCCGGCCCCAGAAGCCCCAGGGUCUCACCUGUCCCUAUCCCCUCCUCUCCGACGGCUGCCCCAACCCCUGGGGUUCCACCGUUCGCUGCUGCUGCCCUACCUCUCACCACGCGCACACUAUCACUCGCCACGUGCACAAUUCCUCCCUCCACCCCCAACUCCCGAAAAUGACGCCUCAGGCGCCCCCCACCCCCACCUCUACUAGUUGUUGCACCCCGCGGAAGCUGCCACAUGCUGGAAAGCCAAAGUCUGCUCAGGUCUCUUUCCCGGAGCUUGGAGAAGAGUCUUCAUUGGAGCCAAUCAGGACAAGAAGAGGUCACUGGAAAGAAUGCACAGGACUGUCCCUUUCUUCCCAGAGAGGAAUCCAAACAUUCAAGUCUUCUAAGACAUCAUCAAACUACAAAAACAAGGAAAGAAUUCUUUAAGCAUUUAAAAGGAAGAAAGAGAUUUCUCAUUUAAAAACACUAGUCAGAAUACUUUCAGGAGAGUCAGCAGAGCUGGAACCAAGAUUCCCCAACUAUUUUUGGAGAAGACCAGGCAGCAGUAGAGAACAGAAAAGGGGGCUGGGUUUGGAAUCAGGUUUGAAUUCUGACUAGGAUUUCUGGAUCUUUUUGUCACUGUAACAACCAGCAGCUGGCACCAAUGUAGCAAAUCAACCAAACCCAGCCGCUGCCUUACAGACGAUUCUUCCAAGGGCAGUGAUAGAACACAGUGUUUUCCUCCCCUCCAGUAACUUCUACUUUGGAAACAGUUUGCACCAAAUUAAAACUGUUUUAUCCUUGAUGAAAUUGGGCUACAAAUUGUUUCCUAGUAGCCAUAGCCUGGCUAUCGGCAUUCAUUCUCUCCUUUGAACGUCAAAGUAAAGUCUUGGAUAUCUUGUUGUCUUCACUCCUCUAAGGAAUGAGUUGGUUACAAAAGUGGCACUCAAGGCCCUGGGGCAUAGGACUGAGAACUGGGAGAUGGAGGAGGGCAGGGGCUGCACUCAGUAAGCCUGCAGAGCUAGGAGAGUAUGCUGCAAGAGAAGGGCAGAGCUGCUAUCAAGAGAAGACAAAAGACUACUCUGUAGGUUAAGCCAGGGGGAUAGGGAAACUACUCACUCUGCAGGCUUGGUUUCAGGCAGGAGCUCAGCAUGGCAGGACAAGGCUAUUCAGUUGGCCAACGGGAGGCAAAAGUGAGCCCAGCAGGCCAGGGUGAGUAGGCAUUAGGUACCUCGAAAGUCUAGGGAAUAUGGUUAAAGGCAGGCAUUCAGUUUUCAGGCUAGGGGGUCAGUUGAGAGGUUUAAAGCAAUUUGAAGCAAUCCAUGCUCUUAUUCCUCAAAGAAAAAAGGGAAAAAAUCUAAAAAAUCAAAGAGAACUAAAAAACCCUUUAAAACAAACAGAAAUCAGCUGAAACAGAAAUGGAAUAAAGCAAAGUGCUGAUGCA